rnacentral:lncRNA from 1 species
AGAUAAUCACAUUGUUGAAUAAAAGUAAUUUUACCACAACACUAGUACAACAGAACUCUCAAAAAAAAACUUCCACUUUACAGAAACUAAGGCAACUCAUGUAAAAAAAAAAAAAGAGAUUAAAAAGAAUAAUACAAAGGUUUCUAUUCACAAAAUUUCUCUAUGUCUUGGAUUUUUGCUUAGUUCCCAAUUUUUUUUAUCUCUUUAUUGAUGUUGGGAGUCGUAAGGUUAUGUCAUAAGUUAAAGAUGUCAACCUAGUUAAAGGGUCAAUUCUUAUCAUUUUUUUUUGUCUUUUUUUUUCUUUUCAAAAAGUAAUAUUGAAACUAUAUUUAACCAUCAAUUGAGGUGAUAUGAAGGAACGAUUAUUAAAAUAAUAGUAUUGCCUUUCAAUUUUAUCUCUUUAAUCCUUGCAAAUUUAAUAUUUUAAUCUUGUGUUAAAAUUUCACACCAUUUUAAACUCUAAAUACCAUGAGUUAAGAUUUAUAAAUUGCACAUAAAUAAGUUAAUUAAAAUGUGCAAAGCUUUUUUUUUCACUAGUAACAAUUUUGCUACAAACACAC